UCAAUGACCAAUGUGUUUUUAAUAUUUUAAAAAUCAGAUUUGUUUUCAAAAUUGAAAAUGUGAAGUUGUUCCUGUAUAUAAUGGGAUAUAUUUUAAUAAUAAAAUAUUAUGUUAUCGUUAUAUCUUUGUAGUAUGCUAAAAUAUGGAUUAUAUGCAAAAAAUAGUUAAAAUGAAAAAAAAAAACCUCACUGAAUUAAAAUUAUUUGCUGUUGGAUAAGAAUAAUAGGGCCUAAGUCAUAAUAACUUAGGCUCAAGAUUGAGCGAUAAGUAUGUGGCUCACCUGAUCACAACCUCUCAUAUAUACAUCUGAAGUCCAGAGACGCUGCUGAUACCACUCUAUGAGAGAUACAAAUUCUUUGAGAAAAACACCAGAGCAUAGAAACUCGAUUCUUGAAAAUGUGGGAAUCACUUGAUUAUGAAUGAGGGAAAUUAAAAGAGAAUGGGACAUUUAUGUUACAGCUAUGUGAAGAGUGGUAUAUAGAGGAGGCGAAAUAACAUAUUAUCUUAAAAAGCAUAUUAUGUAAAUUGUUUGGUGUCAUCAAAGAUUCAGCAGAAAUGAUAUAGGUGUGAAAAUUAAUUAUUUAAUAAGGUUUCAUUUAAUUGUAAGGUUUAGAUACAAUGUGAUUUUUAAAUACAUUUAUUAUUAUGUCAUACACACUAGCUAGCCUAAGAAAUGAUAUAAAAUAUUUGUUUUAAAAUAUAUUAUGUAUUUGCUAUUUUCAAAUUGAAUAUAGAUAGAAACUUAUAAAAAUCAGUUUGGAUUAUUUCAUAGGAGACAAUGUGACAUUUUUCCUAUAAGGGGCAGAAUAUUUCUCCAGUAAACUUAUUGAUUUUUGCUUAUAUUGUCUUGCAUUGUUUUGUGAAUUGUACAAACUAGAAAAUCAUUAUAAGUUGUAAAGAUAAGUGACUUGUUGACAGUUUGUUUGCUUUGCCAUUGUAUGGCCAAUAAAAGAAAUCAACCAAAGCUUUCUUUUAUUUUAAGUUAAAAUUUUUGUACUUUAGCUUUGUGAUUGUUUUUAUUCCUCAAUUAAUGUAAAUUUCAUUCAGUAAAUUGGAGGUAAAUCCACUCGAUUAGUAAAUUUUAUAUUUAUAGGCAAUUGCUCCUAAUUUAAUUAAGUGAAUUUAUAUUCACUAAGAAAUAAUUAGUAUAAUUUAUCAGUUUUCAGUAACCAACUUUAUUGAUAAUUUCAAUACCUAUAAGUACUAAAUUAUUAUGUACAUACAUUUUUAAGUAAAUAUAUUAUAUAUGCAA